AUUGAACGCUGGCGGCAUGCCUUACACAUGCAAGUCGAACGGUAACGGGCCUUCGGGUGCCGACGAGUGGCGAACGGGUGAGUAAUGUAUCGGAACGUACCUUUCAGUGGGGGAUAACGUAGCGAAAGUUACGCUAAUACCGCAUAUUCUGUGAGCAGGAAAGCAGGGGAUCGCAAGACCUUGCGCUGAUUGAGCGGCCGAUAUCAGAUUAGCUAGUUGGUGAGGUAAAGGCUCACCAAGGCGACGAUCUGUAGCGGGGCUGGGAGGAUGAUCCGCCACACUGGGACUGAGAGACGGUCCAGACUCCUACGGGAGGCAGCAGUGGGGAAUUUUGGACAAGGGGGGCAACCCUGAGCCAGCCAUGCCGCGUGAGUGAAGAAGGCCUUCGGGUUGUAAAGCUCUUUCGGCCGGGAAGAAAUCGUAUCAGCUAAUACCUGGUGCGGAUGACGGUACCGGCAUAAGAAGCACCGGCUAACUACGUGCCAGCCGCCGCCGUAAAAC
rnacentral:rRNA from 1 species